UGUUUGCUAAGUCAUCGCGCAGGAGGCAACAGAAUCAAAGGUGACAAAUGUGAGUCCGUCCGUUGGCUUAAGAUCGAGGAUCCUGAGUGAGUUGCACGGAUCGUCUCCUUCAGUUCUCUCAGGAACUUUAGAGGUCCCUGUAGUUACGAAGAACUAAUUAAAGGCAUGAAAUGUUCCUCUGCAAGUUUCAUUGACCAUGUUGGGCCUACAGUCCAUUUCCAAAAUAAAUAUCUAAAGUAGCAAGCUUGGCAGUGGGAGCCCAGCAGGUCCCGUCUUUGUCCCUGUGCUGAUACAGAGAGACUCUCCGUGCUGAGGACGCCUCCAUCUGGGCACAUGUUUCAGUUGUUUUCAAAAUACCAAGAGCACAGAUUGCUCAGUAAUAAUAGCUCUCCUGCAAAUCUGGAAUCACUUAGGCAGCUGCAGUGCCUCUAAGCCUCCUUGCAUCCAAGGCUGUGAUCAAGGAGGACUGGUGUCUGAGUGGGCUUGAGAAGGGCUGGGAGAACAGCGGGUUUCCUGAUCACAAAUCAGCCUGUCAUUCAGCAUAUGUUCCCCUGGUGACUCAGGGCGAUAUCUGCCCUUCUCCGGAGGUCAAGGGCUCAUCGUGUCAAUUGUGGUCUUGAGUUUGUUUUUUUUUUCCUCUUGAAAUCAUUGUAAUUAAGCUCAAAUUAUAGUGUUGGUAUCCAGCACAUAUUUGCAAAGUAUUUAACAAUGAGCAAAAACUUCAAGAAUAAAUUAAAGCAUCUAGGAGUUUACUUUUUGCCAACAGCCGGGUUCCUGCUAGAAAUGAUUUUGAAAUAAAUGAUGUCUUGGAAAUAGAAA
rnacentral:lncRNA from 1 species